UUUGGUUUGAACUACGAGUUCGAUAUCAUAUCGAAUGAAGUAGUCUCUAAAUCAGUCUAUUGCUCAAUGUUCCCACAGUUGACUGAUUUAGUGACUACAUCAUUCGAUAUUCUAUGGAAAUCUUGGUUCGAACCGAAACAAACAAACAUAACCUCAUGUCCGAAUUCUUCACAAGUUAAUUGUGUUACUUUGUUACAAUUCAAUUUUUAACCGGUCCUUAGCAAUUGAAGACUCAUUAAGAAGUUCAAGAAAUUUUGAUUGUAAGAAGCACUUGGAAGCAUUUUACCACUGUGGCGUAAAGGGUGUGAACCAGAAGCAAAGUUCCUCGCUUGUUUACAUUUGAACCAAGGGUUCCAUGUUAUAUCGAAUUACGUAGCCACCAAAUCAGUUUAUCCCAAUCAAUUUUGCUGGCCUUAAUUAAUUUUUUAAAAUGAAUCGCCUGCAAAUGAAGGUUUGAUUAGCCAGAAUCAUUUCCAUUACUGCAAAAGAGGGCAAUAGUAUUAUAGAGAUAAAAACCGUUCUAACAGCCGCUUUUAGACAAAUCUCAGUUACGUCUUAAUCCGAGUUUCUUCUAAUAGUUUACUGUAAAAGACAAAAAUUUAUCUCAUCCAUAUUCCUAUUUUAUCCCCCUAUGAUGAGAUUUGUGGCCUGCAGUUUCCUAUGACACCACACCGAUCUGAACAGCUGAACUUGGCGCCAUGAGUUUCCCCACUAAGUGUCUCUUUCCCGUUCUGUGCCAAAUUCUGUUUGACACCAAUCACUAUUGCUGAAGAUAUUGUCAAAAAUUUCCAUGUUCCUUGUCAUAACAUCCCCAGAUGGAACAUCCUAACCUCUAAAUGUAUCUCAACCCUUCUCAGAAUCUGACCAUGGUCACAACUCCCUCGGACGAUGAUGUCUACAUAUGAAAAUCCACAAUCAGUGCAAAGUGUGUGUCCUCCAAAUUCUAUUUUCAGAUAAAACUAUUUUUUGAUCAGUUCCAGAAACUCCUAAGACAGGUGGCCAACAGUCCCACCGUUAUAGAGCAGCUGCUGCUCGGUACACCAAGCACCAGUUCUUCAAAAGACACCUCCAAAGACUCAUCUAAAGACACCUCCAAAGACUCAUCUAAAGACUCUUCGUUCCCUCAGCUUUUUGGGAAGCGACCCAAAAAAUCCACCAAGUUUCACAACGCAUUCACAGGGAAUCUAGAGAUUGAUUCCAAAAUAUUGCUUUCUAAUACAAAGAAAUCUGAUGGUCAUCAAAAGUCAUUUACCCCUCGUAAUAAUGAGUUCAAACGUGAUUUUGUCUUGCUCAAGUCAAGCAACUGCAACACUCCAGUUCCUGAUGACGACCUUGAUUCUCUCGGCGUGCAAGGAUUUUAUAUCCAAGGAAUCAAAUUCCUCAAAAAGAUGACAUCAGAGGAAGUCAAAGCU
rnacentral:lncRNA from 1 species